GUGCCAGCCGCUGCGGUAAUACGUAGGUGGCGAGCGUUAUCCGGAAUUAUUGGGCGUAAAGGGAGCGUAGGCGGUUUAUUAAGUCUAAGGUGAAAGUUCGGGGCUCAACCCCGUGAUGCCUUAGAAACUGGUAGACUUGAGUACAGGGGAGGUGAGUGGAAUUCCAUGUGUAGCGGUAAAAUGCGUAGAUAUAUGGAGGAACACCAGUGGCGAAGGCGGCUCACUGGCCUGUAACUGACGCUGAGGCUCGAAAGCGUGGGGAGCAAAUAGGAUUAGAUACCCUAGUAGUCCACGCCGUAAACGAUGGAUACUAAGUGUUGGACGGAAGUUCAGUGUUGCAGUUAACGCAAUAAGUAUCCCGCCUGGGGAGUAUGCGCGCAAGCGUAAAACUCAAAGGAAUUGACGGGGGCCCGCACAAGCGGUGAGUAUGUGGUUUAAUUCGAAGCAACGCGAAGAACCUUACCAGGUCUUGACAUACCACGCAAAAGCACAGAGAUGUGUAAUAGUUAUGGUAGGAUACAGGUGGUGCAUGGUUGUCG
rnacentral:rRNA from 1 species